UGACUCUGGUUUCUACAAAAACCUUUUACAAGAGCUGGCUCUGAAAAAGGUUAUGCUUUACCUGUUUAUCAUGCAAAUCGAUCUAGUGAAGCACAUAUGCCAACUUUUGUAUCAACCGUUAAGGUAGAAGUAGAGGUUUUUACUGGGCUGGAAGCAAAGACGAAGAAGCAGGCAGAGACAAGUGCAGCAAAAGUUGCUUACCUGACUCUCAAAGAUUGUAUGUGGGUGUUUGUUUUUUCGCUUUCUUAUGUCUUUAGUUAUUAAAAAACUUGGUUGCAUUGAAGAGUAUUAUUGAUAAGAAUUGUAUCUAUACACUGAGGCCCCAAACUAUGAAAUUUAGCAAUCAGACAACUUGUCUUUUGAACUCCAUCUGAAGACAAUGACAUUAGAGCAACUUUUGCUGCUCCAUGCUCAGCUUCCUUUAAUGUGGGGAAACACUCCGGACACUUGUAAGUCUGUCAACCAACUGUGACCUCACACUUAAAGUAACUAGCAUGAGGAGGACCUUCCCGCGCACAAAAAUACAUAGGAAAAGCAAGAUUUCACCUUCACACCUAGAUUUGAGCUGGUUCUUGUGCAGUUGUAGUGUAUCUAUAAAUCAAAAGAAAAUGAUUAAAAGUCACAAUGCUACUUAUCAUUAAAACAAUAGUGUAGUUCCUUAAUUUGCUGUUUUAUUUAUCUAUUUUUAUCUCAA